rnacentral:rRNA from 1 species
GGCAGCAGUAGGGAAUCUUCGGCAAUGGGCGAAAGCCUGACCGAGCAACGCCGCGUGAAUGAUGAAGGCCUUCGGGUUGUAAAAUUCUGUUAUAAGGGAAGAACGACUUUAGUAGGAAAUGGCUAAAGUGUGACGGUACCUUAUGAGAAAGCCACGGCUAACUACGUGCCAGCAGCCGCGGUAAUACGUAGGUGGCAAGCGUUAUCCGGAAUUAUUGGGCGUAAAGAGCGCGCAGGUGGUUGAUUAAGUCUGAUGUGAAAGCCCACGGCUUAACCGUGGAGGGUCAUUGGAAACUGGUCGACUUGAGUGCAGAAGAGGGAAGUGGAAUUCCAUGUGUAGCGGUGAAAUGCGUAGAGAUAUGGAGGAACACCAGUGGCGAAGGCGGCUUCCUGGUCUGUAACUGACACUGAGGCGCGAAAGCGUGGGGAGCAAACAGGAUUAGAUACCCUGGUAGUCCACGCCGUAAACGAUGAGUGCUAAGUGU